AGCAGCCGCGGUAAUUCCAGCUCCAAUAGCGUAUAUUAAAGUUGUUGCAGUUAAAAAGCUCGUAGUUGAAUUUCGGGAUCAAUACGUCGGUCGUGCUUAGGUACGUACUGGCGUAAUUGAUUUCUCCCUUCUGACGAACCAUGAUGUCAUUAACUUGGUGUCAUGGGAAAUCAGGACUGUUACUUUGAAAAAAUUAGAGUGUUUAAAGCAGGCUCACGCUUGAAUACAUUAGCAUGGAAUAAUGAAAUAGGACGUUCGAUCCUAUUUUGUUGGUUUUUAAGAUCAACGUAAUGAUUAAUAGGGAUAGUUGGGGGCAUUAGUAUUCAAUUGUCAGAGGUGAAAUUCUUGGAUUUAUUGAAGACUAACUACUGCGAAAGCAUUUGCCAAGGAUGUUUUCAUUAAUCAAGAACGAAAGUUAGGGAUCGAAGACGAUCAGAUACCGUCGUAGUCUUAACCAUAAACUAUAGCCGACUAGGGAUCGGGUGAUUGGUUAAUUUUUUAAUGUACUUCAGUUCGGCGC
rnacentral:rRNA from 1 species